rnacentral:rRNA from 1 species
CGUGGGUAACCUGCCUUAUAGUGGGGGAUAGCCUUUCGAAAGGAAGAUUAAUACCGCAUAAGAUUGUAGUAUCGCAUGAUAUAGCAAUUAAAGGAGCAAUCCGCUAUAAGAUGGACCCGCGUCGCAUUAGCUAGUUGGUGAGGUGAUGGCUCACCAAGGCGACGAUGCGUAGCCGACCUGAGAGGGUGAUCGGCCACAUUGGGACUGGGACACGGCCCAGACUCCUACGGGAGGCAGCAUG